rnacentral:rRNA from 1 species
UACAGAGGGUGCAAGCGUUAAUCAGAAUGACUGGGCGUAAAGAGCACGUAGGCGGUUUGUAAAGUUGGUUGUGAAAUCUCCGGGCUUAACCUGGAACGUGCAAUCAAAACUCACAAACUAGAGGACAGUAGAGGAGAGUGGAAUUUCCGGUGUAGCGGUAAAAUGCGUAGAUAUCGGAAAGAACACCAGUGGCGAAGGCGACUCUCUGGACUGUUACUGACGUUGAGGUGCGAAAGCGUGGGGAGCAAACAGGAUUAGAUACCCGCGUA